rnacentral:rRNA from 1 species
AUACGGAGGAUGCGAGCGUUAUCCGGAUUUAUUGGGUUUAAAGGGUGCGCAGGCGGGCGAUUAAGUCAGCGGUGAAACGCAGGUGCUCAACACCUGACCUGCCGUUGAGACUGGUUUUCUAGAACGCGGAUGCUGUGGGGGGAAUGUGUGGGGUAGCGGUUAAAUGCAUAGAUAUCACACAGAACACCGAUUGCGAAGGCAUCUCACAAAUCCGCGAUUGACGCUGAGGCACGAAGGUGCGGGGAUCGAACAGGAUUAGAUACCCUGGUAGUCCGCAUAGUAAACGAUGAUAACUCGCUGUCGGCGAUAGACAGUCGGUGGCCAAGCGAAAGCGAUAAGUUAUCCACCUGGGGAGUACGACCGCAAGGUUGAAACUCAAAUGAAUUGACGGGG